rnacentral:lncRNA from 1 species
CUCUUGGCGGCGCAUAGUCCGAACAAAGACGCCAAGCCUGCGUGUCCUGAACAGUCCCUCACAGUGAAAUUCAAAUGCCUGAAGAAACUGUUACGCGCACACAGCGUGAGUUCAGGAUGUCUUGUCGACGGGAAUUCUUUUGUAUCUGUUAAUCGCGAUGUCGGCCACCCUAUUUUUCUAAACAGCGGGCACAAGCGAGAUAUACGGUGGCCUGGCACGCCGCUAUACAAACGCGCGUCGCCGCAGGGUCAUCCAGCUGUGAACGGCUGCAUGCAAGUAGUCGAAUUGCGAAAGAUACCGGCAUUGCUAUCGAAUUCUUAGGGGUUGUUCAUAAGCCCGAGUAUCGUGAUAGAUGAGUGUUUGACGUGGAAGAAGCAAGUGGAAAUUGUGCUGAUAGAGGCAGUGUUGUGCUGUUUCGGAGGUGAAAGGGGCUGUCCCGUAUGAAUGUUUCGGCAUCGCCGCCUCCAGACAAGACGGCUGUUCAUCUCUGCUGAAACCAACCCCCCCCCCUUUUCCCCCGGAUCAUCCGCAAUUAUUUUGUGUCGCGAUCACUCGAGCUCUUUGUUGGAAAGAGAGUACCCUUUUUGGAACAGCAAUGACAAACAGAACUCCCGAGGGGAUCGGUGGGCAAGUAGCUGCUGAAAAAAGACGUGGUUCGGGAGGCUUAUCAGAAUGUACUCUUUUUCGUUGGGUACGAGGUCCCAGUCUUCUGCAGAAAAGGUGUAGAAGGUGCACGGUUUUCGUAGCUUUUGCAUGAACUGGGUGAUUUAACCAUUUACGGAACAGGUAUUUUCGGUGUAUUCAUCCAGAGUGCGUAGCUGAGCACCUGGUCCUUUCGGUGGCAUGUUGCAAGUUAGGUUUGUUGUGCUAAAGUGCUGCUGUCGCUGCCUGCAGUUUUUUCUCUUGACCUAGCGUUUGCCACAGGUAGUCGGUUGGGACUUUCCAGACGACCAGAAACUUUCUUGGAGAGCCGCACGUGGCGCAGUUCCGGGAAGUGGUUGUGUUUCAUCGCCUGCGGUGAAAGGCAAUUUCCAACAGUUUUUAUGGAAAGUUCGAUCCGUGGACUACCAAGCAGGGUGGCUUAUAAGUGGUCCAGGUAGCUUCCAUGCUUGCAGGUGCUGCAGGCUAUGCUUAGAGGCCAGAACAACGGGUGUCCCUUCAUUCUUGAUAUACUUUUAGGGAGACCAUCCGUUUCACAACAGUGUCUCUCCAAUUUCACUGUUCAUGAUCAGAGAAUAUUUUCGGAUUAAAAUUAGUGAGUCACAGCACUAGUCGCACCACAGUCAUGAUGUAUUAUCUAUGCCUACAUAAAAAACCUCAGUUUUACGCCACCGCAGUUUCAGGACUCCUAUUCGGUCACAGGGGGUGUUUCCCAUCCCACCUUACAGGUACAGGGCUUCCCGCGUGGUGGGAUUUCGGAAGCAUUUAUCGUCUUUGGCGUUCUCCUAGGCACCAGAACAUCUCCCACUAGCGAACAAUAGGCCAACACAUCGUUGCAGCGCGAACGUUUCAUCGAUAUAUUUGUUCAGAAUAUAGAUCCUCUACAGGGUUAGAAAGUGGGUGCGGUAAUACACGCACUUUUGUCGUGUGCAGGCAGAGGCGCUUUCUGGUAGAAACUGUGUAAGCACUUGUCGAGAGGAGAAGGGAAGCUGUUUCUGUCAUUCAAAUUCACUAUGCGUAUAUCAGCCACUUUGUGCAACACAUGCGGUACGUGUAGCACACUAUUUUCGUGGAGAACGUGGAAUGGACUCGUCUGUGCCAUCAAAAAGGUGGCCGUGGGACUGUCGUGUCAUGUGUGUGACACCACCGCCACUGCGAUGUUUAUUUCAGCUGGCCGGAACUGAAUUAAAAGAUUGUGACCAACGAUGAACUAAUCAAGAUGUGAAAAGGGGACGUC